ACAGAAGACAAUAGAACAACAAACAAGAACGCGAGUUUGUCUUUCAUCGUCCCCUUUUUCUUUCUCUUUCUCUUUCUCUUCUUUCUC
rnacentral:ribozyme from 13 species